rnacentral:rRNA from 1 species
AUACGUAGGGGGCGAGCGUUGUCCGGAAUUACUGGGCGUAAAGGGUGCGUAGGCGGAUUUGCAAGUCUGAUGUGAAAGCCCUUGGCUUAACCAGGGGCAUUCAUUGGAAACUGGGAGUCUGAGAGUGCAGGAGAGGGAAGCGGAAUUCCCGGAGUAGCGGUGGAAUGCGUAGAUAUCGGGAGGAACACCAGUGGCGAAGGCGGCUUCCUGGACUGUAACUGACGCUGAGGCACGAAAGCUGGGGGAGCGAACAGGAUUAGAUACCCUGGUAGUCCCAGCCGUAAACGAUGGAUACUAGGUGUUGGCGGUUCAGACCGUCGGUGCCGGAGCCAACGUGAUAAGUAUCCCGCCUGGGGAGUACGGUCGCAAGACUGAA